rnacentral:tRNA from 1 species
GGGAAUAUAGCUCAGUGGUAGAGCACUUUCCUAGUAUGUAUGAGGCCAUGGGUUCAAUGCCCAAUAUCA